UACGUAGGGGGCAAGCGUUGUCCGGAAUCAUUGGGCGUAAAGAGCGUGUAGGCGGUUCGGUAAGUCGGCUGUGAAAGUCCAGGGCUCAACCCUGGGAUGCCGGUCGAUACUGCCGGACUAGAGUUCGGAAGAGGCGAGUGGAAUUCCCGGUGUAGCGGUGAAAUGCGCAGAUAUCGGGAGGAACACCUAUGGCGAAGGCAGCUCGCUGGGACGUUACUGACGCUAAGGCGCGAAAGCGUGGGGAGCAAACAGG
rnacentral:rRNA from 1 species